UUAGUGGCGGACGGGUGAGUAACGCGUGGGCAACCUGCCCUAUACAGGGGGAUAGCAGCUGGAAACGGCUGGUAAGACCGCAUAAGUCGGCGAGACCGCAUGGUUUUGUCGGGAAAUGAGCAAUCAGGUAUAGGAUGGGCCCGCGUCCGAUUAGCCAGUUGGCAGGGUAAAAGCCUACCAAAGCGACGAUCGGUAGCCGGACUGAGAGGUCGGACGGCCACAUUGGGACUGAGACACGGCCCAAACUCCUACGGGAGGCAGCAGUGGGGGAUAUUGCACAAUGGAGGAAACUCUGAUGCAGCGACGCCGCGUGAGUGAAGAAGUAUUUCGGUAUGUAAAGCUCUAUCAGCAGGGAAGAUGAUGACGUACCUGACUAAGAGCCCC
rnacentral:rRNA from 1 species